rnacentral:lncRNA from 1 species
UCUACACCCAACCUGGGGCUUGAACUAACAACCCCGAGAUCAAGAGUUGCAUGCUCUACCGACUGAGCCAUCCAGGCACCGUCUUAGGUCAUUUUAGACUCUUCACAGUCAACUAAGUCAUGGGCCCAUGUGGUGAGUCAGUGUGAGGGUGGCUGGAACACAGGGAUCAAGGGCAGUGUGUUCCCAGGCACUCAUUAUUCAUUGCAGUCUAGAGCUGGACUGACUUAGAAGCAGCUUGUACUUUACCCAACAAAAGGAAUGCAGUUCUUUGAAUUGGGGAGCCCUCACGCACUCCUGCUUGCACACAAGCUGUUACUCAUUCAGGAAACAUCCAUCCGGUGGCCCAGAGUGCCAGGCACCUAGCCAGACAUUUGCAUGAUAAAAGUGAGUUCCUGCCUUUGAGGCCAUUCUCAGUCCUGAUAAUGCUUUGAUUGAGAAUCUGACCUGCUAAUGUGUGCCUUAGAAAUGUCCCUGGGUUUUGAGCCAUUGAUUCCAUUUCUGAUUAUUUGUGCUAUGGAAAGCAUUUCCAAAAUGAAAAAGGCCUUUUCUCAUGAGUAUUUGUGUAAUGGUUAAGGGUGCAGGCAUGGUGUCACGUGUGGAUUUGACUCCUCUUUACCCCCCUCAGUUUUGUUAUCUGUACAAUGGGGAUAAUAGCUACCUCAUAAGGAGAUUAUGAGUUUUGACUAAAAAAUGAAUGACGUGUAUAGUGAGUGUAAAGGGCCUAACGCAUUACCUGGGAGAGGUGCCCCAGUGAAUAUGUUUUUGGUGUGUGUGUGUGUGUGUGUGUGUGUGUGUGUGUGUCAGUGUUAGCAUGGGACCCAAGAGCGCUGUGCUGAGGCCAACACUUCCAGUGAUGGUGUUUUCAUCCUAGGCUGGAAGCUAAUGCUGGAUUCAGCCAGCCCGUCCUGCAGUCUUUCCUGAAGUACUUCCCGUAGUUUGGAAGCACCAGAGUUCCUCCAUUAAAUCUCUUUCUGCCCCCGUCCCCCCAAAAAGACAAUUUGUUAUCGGCCACUAAACCAAUCUGUUAUCGACAACUAAAUCCUGACCGGCAUGUGUUGGAAAGUGUGCCAAUACUAUGAAAUGUUGUAUGAUCACCAGCAAAACAACAGAACUACAGAGAGAGAGACCAGAUAUCCCUUCAAGUGUUGGUGGUGAGUAUAUUUGGGUAGGAAGACAAUGAAUGAUCUUUCGGUGUACUUUUUGUUGCCUUCCUUUUUUAAACAGCAGCUUUACUGAGAUCUAUUCACAUCUCGUUUAAAUUCACUCGGGGCGCCUGGGUGGCGCAGUCGGUUAAGCGUCCGUCUUCAGCCAGGUCACGAUCUCGCGGUCCGUGAGUUCGAGCCCCGCGUCAGGCUCUGGGCUGAUGGCUCGGAGCCUGGAGCCUGUUUCCGAUUCUGUGUCUCCCUCUCUCUCUGCCCCUCCCCCGUUCAUGCUCUGUCUCUCUCUGUCCCAAAAAUAAAUAAACGUUGAAAAAAAAAAUUAAAAAAAAAAAUUCACUCAUUUAAAAUGUGCAAUUCAGGGACACCUGGGUGGCUCAGUCGGUUGAGUGUCCCACUCGGAAUUUCAGCUCGGGUGGUGGUCUCCAGGUUGUCUGACUGAGCCCCGAGCUGGGCUCUGUGCUGGGUGUGGAGCCUGCUUGGGAUUCUCUCUCUCCCUCUCCAUCUGCCCCUCCCCCUGUUCACGCUCUGUCUCUCCAUAAACAACAAACAAAAACAAAAAAAAUGUGCAAUUCAGUGGCUUCCGGUAUAUUUCCAGAUGGGUGCAGCCAUCAACACACACGAUUUUAGGACAUUUUCAUCGCCUCCCCCCACAAAAAAACCCAUUAGUUAUUAAUUCCCUAUCUUCCUGCCCCCACCACCAGCCCUAAGCAACUGCUAACUUACUUUCUCUCUCUAUGGAUUUCUCUACCUUGGACUUUCAUGUGAAUAGGGUCGUACAGCAUGUGGUCUUAUGUAUCUGGCUCAUUUCACUUAACAUAAUGUUAUCAGACUUGUAGCAUACACGUUGUGGUGUAUAUCAGUACUUCAUGCUUUUUUAUAGCCAAAUAUUCCACUGUACGGAGAGCCCAUCCCCUGUAUGGCUAGUCCUGGGUCUGUUGAUGGGCCUUUGAGUUGUUUACACCUUCCGGCUGCUGUGAAUAAUGCUGGUAUUUCCCUCCAACCUUCAUUUUGACCAUGUAGCAAUUUUAUGAUGAAUAUUUAGUAAAUUUUAUAACGAAGAAAAUCUGGCCUGGGUAACUAGGACAUUUCAAUUUCGUAUUCAGAAGAGGGCAAGAUCGUAGAUUGCAUCCUUUUGGAUUGACCAGUUAGCUUAGUACACAUUAAAACUCUAUUCCGAGCCAGAUUUACAGCCUCUAUCAGCACCUAUGUCCAGCAGUCCGGUCUAUACGUGGUACUUUGGGUCAGCAGAAGGAUGGGAAGAGAGACUACAAACUCAUUUCCACCUCUCAGCGGCUCUGAAGUGAACAGGGCAGAUGUGCUAAACUCACACAAGUCCCAAGAUUUGACUUUUGGUAUUUUCACUGUAAAAACUGUAUUUACUGGGGGUGCCUGGGUGGCUCAGUUGGUUGAGCGUCCGACUUCGGCUCAGGUCACGAUCUCAUAGGUUCAUGAGUUCCAGCCCUACAUCGGGCUCUUAGCUCUCCGCGAAGAACCCACUUUGAAUCCUCUGUCCCUCUCUCUCUCUCUGCCCCUCCCUGCUCGCACACACACUCUCUCUUUCUGUCUCAAAAAUAAAUAAACAUAAAAAAAAUUGUAUCUACUGGGGUGCUGGAAAUGUUCUAUAUCUUGAUCUAGGUGGUGGUAACAUGAGAUUCGUGUGAAAUUUGCAUCAGGCAGCAGACUUUAGGCUCAUGUGUCCUGUUAUAUUUAACUACGUGAAAGUGACACCCUGAUUAAAGAAAAGAAGAAAUUAUAACCUGUGCUUUCCCUUAUAUUUCCCUCCCGCUCUCCCAUUUCAGCUGUUGCUGCUUCUUUUCUGACCAUUUCUAAGUGGCCACGGGUUCAUGCCACACAGUUGGUAAGGGACAGAGCUGGGAUUUAAUCCAGCUCUUACUAACUUAGUGUAAAGGGCUGCUUUCACUAGGAACCCUUCCAAUGCCUGGAAUCGACAUGAUUUUUGAGAUUUGGUUCCAAACCAUAUGGCCAGUAAGUACUGAGACUGUCUGGGGGCCAGAUCUCACUGCCCUGGGGCACAUGCUCUGUCUAUCCCAUGUACCUCUUUGCCCCCAACACCCACAUUGUACCAGGCACAUAGCGGAUGGCCAGUAAAUAUUUGUUAAAUCAAUGUGACCGGAGUGGGGUUAUCAUCGAAGGCCAAGCAGGCUGUCCAUGUGGAAAUUGCUAUAAAAACCAAGGCAAGAAACCCAAUUCUUAUUUUUUUUUCCUAUGGCAACACCAGUGGAUGCUGGGCUGUCACAAGAGCACGGAAAGUUCCCACUGGAGAUAUCAGAACUCUCUGGCAAGACCUGUGAAGUGUUAAUUUUAGCUUUCAAUGACUGAUGCCCUUGUGCAAUUUAAUGGGUCAGGAGGAGCACGAGCCAAGAUUACUCACUCAGAGAGGUGCCUUUUCCUGUAGAGUCCUUGGUGAGUUAAUUCAGUUUGUAGAAACUUGCUACUUACACAUUUACUUGAGAGAAUUUUUGCUGUUGUGAGUCUAAGUCUGAGAAUUACCAGCUCUACCUUAGAAGAAUUCGUAAUUUCUCCUAUCAGUCAAAUUUUCCCCGAGUUCAUUCAUUAAACAUGAGUUCGACUCACAAUGUCAGAUGCUAAAAGGCUGUUAGUAAUAACCAUAAGAUAAACAAAAUACUUGCAUGUCCCUGGAUAUUCUGAGUUGAAAGAUACAUAGGUUGAAUAUCAAUUACUCGGAUUAAGGAAGUGCAUAUCCACAGAGCUUUCCAUGUCUAUCCACUUUUCGUCCUGGUAUCCUGGUAGAAAAUGAGGAAGUUCCGUGCUGUCCCCGGUGUCACCGGUUUGUCACUGGUGUCACUGUGUGCUCCAGCAAAGCAGAGCACACAUUGAGGAGGCAUAAGAGGAUCUGUGCACCUUCUCAGAGAGUCUGUGCUCUUUAUGUGACCAGGUCACAGGUGCCCUUGAUUCCCAUGCAUUUGACAUUUUCUCUUCUGCUCAUAUGUUGGGCAUCACCCAUCACACCUGGUCUCAGAUGCCUCAGCCGAUGAAGGAGGACUUUGAACUGCUACCUGGUGGUGACCCCUGCUAGCCUGCAGAGCACCUUCAGCAGCUUGUAUUCUUUGCUUGUUCUGUGAGGUUUGCUCAAUUCUUUGGAUAUUUUAUUGCAUCCUUCCCCAAUUAAUUAAGAAAAGUUAGCGGAGGGAACCUGGCUGGCUCAGUCAGAAGGGCAUUCAACUCUUGAUCUUGGGAUCAUGAGUUUGAGUCCCACAUUGGGUGUAGAGGUUACUAAAAAAAGAAGAGAAAAAGAAAAAAGAAAAGUUAGUGGCAAAUGAAGAAAGGAAAUUAUAGCCCUCAUGAAUGCGAUCGGUAGAAUCCGAAAGGAAUCAUUAGGUGUGGUGAUACUGUGGGUCUUUAGACUCAAUCAGGCACCCCAAGAAAUUGAACUGCCCAACUGUGGAUUCAGUUGUGAAGGAAAAGAACAGUAAUAAAGAACACACAUGCUGAAUACAACAUUAGAAUUGUACAACAUUGUACAUAUACAUUACAAUGUAUACAACAGUAGAAUUGCCUCUAAGGGUAAACACAUAAGUUAACGAGGGAAAUUUUAUCUCCCUAGGAAUGUUCUGACAAAUAUAAAAGAUGGGAGGAUAGGGGGCACCUGGGUGGCUCAGUCGGUUGGGCGUCUGACUUUGGCUCAGGUCAUGACCUCGCGUUCGUGAGUUCGAGCCCCGUGUCUGGCUCUGUGCUGACGGCUCAGAGCCUGGAGCCUGCUUCGGAUUCUGUGUCUCCCUCUCUCUCUGCCCCUCCCCUGCUCAUGCUCUGCCUCUCUCUGUCUUAAAAAUAAACAGGGGCGCCUGGGUGGCGCAGUCGGUUAAGCGUCCGACUUCAGCCAGGUCACGAUCUCGCGGUCUGUGAGUUCGAGCCCCGCGUCAGGCUCUGUGCUGACUGCUCAGAGCCUGGAGCCUGUUUCCGAUUCUGUGUCUCCCUCUCUCUCUGCCCCUCCCCCGUUCAUGCUCUGUCUCUCUCUGUCCCAAAAAUAAAUAAACGUUGAAAAAAAAAAUAAAAAAAAAUAAACAAAAACAUUAAAAAAAACAAAUUUAAAAGAUGGGAGGAUAGAAUUAGGAUAUCUGAUGCUGUCAAAACAUAGUGCUGUCAAUUUUGUAGGUAUGAUAAUGAUAUUAUACUUUACGUAUUUUCAAAAGAGUUCUUAUCUUUUAGAAAUACUUACCAAACUAUUUACAAAUUUAGAAAAAUAUCCACAGGAGAACCUGUAUUGUUCAGGCUGCUUACGUUUGGCCCCUGUGCAUAAUUUCACGAGUGCAUUACAGACCAAAGCCGGGGGCUGCAAAGUAGACUUGUCCAGAUCCAUCAUUUUCUUCUUUUUUAAAAAGUGCAUUUAUUUAUUUUGAGAGAAAGAGGGUGCGAGUGGGAUAGAGACCGAGAGAGAGGAGAGAGAGAAUCCCAAGCAGGCUCUGCACUGUCGGCACGGAGCCCGAAGCGUGGCUUGAACUCACGAACCGUGAGAUCACGACCUGAGCUGAAAUCAAGUCAGAGGCUCAAUUGACUGACCCACCCAGGCGCCCCAGCUCUGUUAUUUUCUGACCUCCUCCAGAGGACAGUCCCAGGUGUGUGUUUCCUUUUGAGUGGACCCCGCCCCCUUCCCUUUCUGUUAUAUCUGAGACAUCAGCUGGUCUGAGCUGUGCCUUGAGGUAUAAACAGAAGCAGGCCAUCAAGAUUUGCAGGACCCAGCGCAAAAUAAAAAUGUGAAGCCUCUUAUUCAAAAAGCAGGAAAAAAUUUACAUUGACAUUGAAGGCACUAAGCCAUCAAACUUUUUCUUUUUUUCCUGUGGUCUCUCUCUCAACCUGUCAGCAUGUGUGUGUGUGUGUGUGUGCGCGUUUGAUCAGUUUUACUGAUUUGCCCACAAAUAAUUUUCUUUGUGUUUAGCCCGUUUUGAUGUCUUUAGUCAGUCUGGGGGACUUCUCAGCUAGUAUACCUUCCAAUCAGACCAAACCUGACUUCCCUUUCUUUCUUAGCACAGUCUUCCUGGGGUCUCAGUGGAAAGUGUGGGGUAUUUACUAGGACGCCUCCUCUCUGGCAGGCCUUGGAUUCUAAUAUUUGCAUCUCCAGCCCUGUGUAACUUGUGUCAUGUUCCUGGGGCCGCCAUAACAAAUGGCCACAAACGUGGUGGCUUAAGCAACAGAAAUGUCUUCUCUCACGGUUCUGGAGGCCAGAAAUCGAGGGCCAUCAGGCCAUGCUCCCUGUGAAGUCUCUGGGGAAGAAUCCUUUCUUGCCUCUGCUGUGACACAGCCUUCCCCUGCAUGUGUCUGUGUCCUUGUCUCUUCUUUUUUUUUUUUUUUAAUGUUUAUUUUAUUUUUGAGACAGAGAGAGACAGAGCAUGAAUGGGGGAGGGUCAGAGAGAGAGGGAGACACAGAAUCCGAAGCAGGAUCCAGGCUCUGAGCCAUCAGCACAGAGCCUGACGUGGGGCUCGAACUCACGGACCGUGAGAUCGUGACCUGAGUCGAAGUCGGACGCUCAACCGACUGAGCCACCCAGGCGCCCCUGUCCUUGUCUCUUCUUAUAAGUUCAUCAGUCAUUGGACUUAGGCCUCAUUCCAAAUCAGGAUACUUUCUUUUUUUAUGAUUAUCUUUAUUUUAAAAAAAUUGUUUUUUUUUUAAUUUUUUUUUUUUAACAUUUAUUUAUUUUUGAGACAGAGAGAGACAGAGCAUGAACGGGGGAGGGGCAGAGAGAGAGGGAGACACAGAAUCGGAAACAGGCUCCAGGCUCUGAGCCAUCAGCCCAGAGCCNNNNNNNNNNNNNNNNNNNNNNNNNNNNNNNNNNNNNNNNNNNNNNNNNNNNNNNNNNNNNNNNNNNNNNNNNNNNNNNNNNNNNNNNNNNNNNNNNNNNNNNNNNNNNNNNNNNNNNNNNNNNNNNNNNNNNNNNNNNNNNNNNNNNNNNNNNNNNNNNNNNNNNNNNNNNNNNNNNNNNNNNNNNNNNNNNNNNNNNNNNNNNNNNNNNNNNNNNNNNNNNNNNNNNNNNNNNNNNNNNNNNNNNNNNNNNNNNNNNNNNNNNNNNNNNNNNNNNNNNNNNNNNNNNNNNNNNNNNNNNNNNNNNNNNNNNNNNNNNNNNNNNNNNNNNNNNNNNNNNNNNNNNNNNNNNNNNNNNNNNNNNNNNNNNNNNNNNNNNNNNNNNNNNNNNNNNNNNNNNNNNNNNNNNNNNNNNNNNNNNNNNNNNNNNNNNNNNNNNNNNNNNNNNNNNNNNNNNNNNNNNNNNNNNNNNNNNNNNNNNNNNNNNNNNNNNNNNNNNNNNNNNNNNAGAGAGAGAGAGAGAGAGAGAGAGAGAAAGAGAAUAUGAAGCAGGUUCCAGACUCUGAGCUGUCAGCAUGGAGCCCAACACGGGGCUCGAUCCCAGGAACCAUAAGAUCAUGACCUGAGCCGAUAUCAAGAAUCAGACACUUGGGGCGCCUGGGUGGCGCAGUCGGUUAAGCGUCCGACUUCAGCCAGGUCACGAUCUCGCGGUCCGUGAGUUCGAGCCCCGCGUCGGGCUCUGGGUUGAUGGCUCAGAGCCUGGAGCCUGUUUCCGAUUCUGUGUCUCCCUCUCUCUCUGCCCCUCCCCCGUUCAUGCUCUGUCUCUCUCUGUCCCAAAAAUAAAUAAACGUUGAAAAAAAAAAUUUAAAAAAAAAAAAUAAAUAAAAUAAAAAAAAAAUAAAAAAAAAAAAAGAAUCAGACACUUAACCGACUGAACCACCCAGGUGCCCCAAAUCAGGAGACUUUCAUCCCAAGACACUUCACUAGUUACAUGUCCAAAUGAGGUCACUUGCUGAGGUUCUAGGAAGACAUGAUUUUGGGGGGUACACUAUUUAAUCCACAAAGCUAUUGAAAGUUCGGCUUAGAUUGUUAACCUGUCUACAAGCCACCUUCUGAUUUGUUUAUGAGGUCUGGGCAGCAAAUACAUCAAGCAAAAGCCACGCAGAAUGUCAAGUUCAUAUCUCUCCAGUUCUUCUAAUUUCUUUUUUUUCCUGGGGCUUUUGCCCCCCCGGGUGCUGGCUAUCUUGGCCAUCCUAAACCAAAUUAAUUUUUUCUUCGCAGCUUAAUGAGACCGAUGUAGACUUCAGGCCGCUGCUUUUCACUCAUCACGUGUGGCCUGUGCUUCAGACGGGAAGAGGUUCCGAGGGACAGAGUUGGGGCUAGUGUUUCUUCCGCCAUUUCUCUCCACUCCAGGGUCUGUGCAGUUGGCGUCUUGGUCGCUCUCUGGUGCACUCAGACAGCGGCUUUUGUCUGCCAUCCGGCUUUUGUAGUUCUUAGCACCAAGUGUGCUCUGAUACGUCUUCAUAAAUGGAAAUAGAAGUCAAAUAUGGCAUUUCUUUUAUUGUAGGCUCAUGCCUGCGGACCGCCAGGUGAAUGUCUCAGGUGCGUCGCUUUCAGAAGCCCCGUUCCUGCGGGCUGUGCCUCUUAGUCUCCCCCACACCCCACCUGCUCCUUUGUCCUGGGUGUAGACAGAGACAUGCCCAUAAGCUUGCCUUUGUUCUCUGUAUACACGGAUGCUUGGGGACGCUUCUGAAAUGCAAAGAAAAAUAAUUGGGGGAAAAGGACUUAGGAACUAGUGGAACAUAUCAGAGCUGUAUGGGGCUCUUGUCACCUUCCUGCAUAGGAAUCUUAGUAGCAGGCAUAGAAAAGGAAAACCUCCAUGAAUGAGCCACACAGUAUCACUUUGUGUGCUGAGAUACCAGAGCAAGGGAGAAGUUAUGUCUAUAAGGUAUGUUCCUCAGAGUGAGCUUUUCCAUAAGGUAGUAUGACUGCUACACAUUCGACUUACAUAAUCCUCAAAAACUAUAGCAUAAGCUAGUAAAUACUGUUAUUAGUCCAUUUUACAGAUGGGAAAAGUGAGGCAUAGGGAAGUUGGUUGCUUGCAGCCUACAUUGGGGUAGAUACUAUAUAACCUCUCAGUUUCUUUGCAUUUCAUUUAUUAAGUUUUUAAUUGUAUUUCUACCGUAGUUAACACAUUUUAUUUAAUCUUUUUAUAGUUAACACAUUUUAGUCUGUUUAUUCUGUUGGUAAAGCUACAUGAAAAAAAAUAUUUUUAAUGUUUAUUAUUUAUUUUUGAGAGAGAGAGAGAGAGAGAGAGAGAGCGUGAGCAGGAGAGAGGCAGAGAGGGAGGGAGACACAGAAUCCAAAGCAGCUCCAGACUCCAAGCUCUCAGCACAGAGCCCAACACAGGGCUCAUAUUCACGGAUGGUGAGAUCAUGACCUGAGCCAAAGCCAGACGCUCAACGGAGUGAGCCGCCCAGGUGCCCCGGUAAAGCUACAUUUUUAACCAUAAAAUGCAAACUUUGAUGAGAGUGAACUCUGAAUGAAGUGAAUGAGACUUUUUGUACCUUUUAAUUUGUACAUAGUUGCAAACUCACAGAAGUGUUACAAGAAGAGUACGCGAAGCUCUCAUACCCCUUUACCUAGAUUUACCAAUUGUUUACAUUUGGUCUUAUUUGGUUAUCACUUUGCCCCCCCCCCCAAUCAUUUGAAAAUAAGCCAUAGACAUUAUGCCCUUUUACCCCAAAAUACUGAAGUGUGAAUUUUCUAAGAUCAAGCAUAGUCCCUCCUGUAACCUCCAUACAAUUAUUAAAAUUAUGAAAUUUACUGUUGUAACACUAGUACUAUGAUUUAAUCCAGAGUUUAUAUUCAUAUUUCAUCAAUUUCCCCAAUAAUCACAUGUUGCAUUUAGCUGUCACCUGGCAUUGGUGUCCUUUAAACCGAAACAGUUCCUCAGCCUUUGUGUCUGUUGUUUCUCAUGACUAGAUCCAGGACGUGUGUCUUUCACUGCCCAUUGAUUUGAAAUCUGAUCGUCGGACUAACGUGACAUAAUCAUUUGUUUAUAAUGGUUUGAUUAUAAUCAUUUGAUUAAGGCUUCCCCACUAUAAAUAAAUCCUAUUCCCCUUGUAAUAAGUACUUUGUGAAGGCGCUGCUUUGAGACUCUAUAGACCCUUGUUUCUCUUGGGGUGCCUCUGUGGCUCGAUUGGUUGAAUGUCCCAACUCUUGAUUUCGGCUCAGGUCCUAAUCCCCAGGAUCAUGGGAUCCAGCCCCACGUCAAGCUCUGAGCUGAGUGUGGAGACUGCUUAAAAUUAGCUCUCGUUCUCGCUCUGCCCCUCUCCUCUGCUCCUGCUCUCUCUCUAAAAUUAAAUUGAAAAAAAAAAUUAGAGACUUAUUUCUCAUGCAACCCUAUUGGGCUCUGACAUCCUGUGUCUCCCAUGUGUUAGUUCUCUCUCCCUCUCCCUCUCGCUCUCUCUCCCCCUCCCUCCCUCCCCACCUUGUUCCCCUCUUUCCUCUCAUCCCUUUGGCUUAUUUGGCUUGUUUUUCAUUUGGUGAUGCACAACCUCAAUUAGCUUCAUGAGAAAGGAUGCCCGGAAGGACACAUUUUUGAAAAUUUUCAUAUCUGUGUCUUCAUUCUUCCCUCCUUCUUUUAAAAAAAAAACUUUAUUUAAAUUUGUUUGUUAACAUACAAUGCAGUAUUGGUUUCGGGAGUAGAGCCCAGUGUUUCAUCACUUACAUAUAACACCCAGUGCUCAUCCCAACAAGUGCCCUUCUUAAUGCUCAUCCCCCAUUUAGCCCAUCCCCCCACCCACCUCCCCUCCACCAGCCCUCAGUUUGUUCUCUAUAUUUAAAAGUCUUAUGAUUUGCCACCUUCUCUGUUUUUAUCUUAUUUUUCCUUUCCUUCCCCGUGUUCAUCUGUUGUGUUCCUUAAAUUCCACAUAUGAGUGAAAUCAUAUGGUAUUUGUCUUUCUCUGCCUGACAUAUUUCGCUUAGCAUAAUACACUCUAGUUCCAUCCAUGUUGUUGCAAAGACAGGAAACCAUCAAAAUCCUACGGGAGAAAACAGGAGCAACCUCUUCGACCUCAGUCACAGCAACUUCUUACUAGACAUAUCUCCGGAGACAAGGGAAACCAAAGCAAAAAUGAACCAUUGGGACUUCAUCUUGUUAAAGUUUCAAACUUGUUAAAGUUUCAAACUUGUUAAAGUUUCUGCACCUAGAAGGAAAUAAUUAACAAAACUAAAAGGCAACUGACAGAAUGGGAGAAGAUAUUUGCAAAUGACAUAUCAGAUAAAGGGUUAGUAUCCAAAAUCUAUAAAGAACUUAUCAAACUCAAUACCCAAAAAAUAAAUAAUCCAAUGAUG